GCAAGUCGAGGGGUAACAGAGGUAGCUUGCUACUUGCUGACGACCGGCGCACGGGUGCGUAACGCGUAUAGAAUCUACCUUUUACAGGGGGAUAGCCUUUAGAAAUGAAGAUUAAUAUCCCAUAGUAUUGCGAGAUGGCAUCAUUUUGUAAUUAAAGAUUUAUCGGUAAAAGAUGACUAUGCGUCCUAUUAGUUAGUUGGUAAGGUAACGGCUUACCAAGACGUCGAUAGGUAGGGGUCCUGAGAGGGAGAUC
rnacentral:rRNA from 1 species